rnacentral:lncRNA from 1 species
CUUUCCCCAAGGGUUCCGCAUUAGCCUAACCAAGACUUUCUCUGAGACUCUUAGUUAUUAUGAUGCUACUUCCACCAGCACCAGGGUUCUUGUUGCUAUCUGGCUGUUGAGUGAUUCAGUCCCACUGAGCAAUGUCAACCUGAUUGUCUUUCUUUGUUUUUAAGAAACAGGGUCUUGCUCUGCUGCCCAGGCUGGAGCACAGUAGUGUGAUCAUAGCUCACUACAGCCUUCAACUCCUGGGCCUUAGCAAUCCUCCUGCCUCAGCCUCCCAAGGAGCUAUGGCUGCAGGUAUCCGCCACCACUCAUUGACAGCCACUUCCAGUACUCACUGUCUUGGACACAGACUUGAGUAAAAGUACAGGGGCAAGAGGCCUGGAUGAAGAAAUACCCUCAGAAACUCCCACUCUUCUGGUUCCUGCUGAAGACUCCAGUAAUAAAAGUUAUUCAUACCUACCUCCACCAUCUUGGCUGGGAAGUCAAGGAUACAGGAAGAAGAUAGCAGCCCGCAACCCGGAAGAGGGCCCUCACCAGAACCUACCAUGCUGGCACCCAGACCUCAGACUUCCAGCCUCCAGAAAUAUGGAGUUUCCCUCUUGUCGCCUAGGCUGGAGUGCAAUGGCAUGAUCUCCACUCACUGCAACCUCCGCCUCCAGGGUUCAAACACCAUCUGGCUCUGUCACCCAGGCUGGAGUGCAGUGGCCUGGUCACAGUUCACUGCAGCUUCGACUUCCCUGGCUCAAGUGAUCCUCCCUCCUCACCCUACAGGCAUGCACCACCGUGCCCAGGAGCUCCCUCUGCUGCAGGAACUCAACGAUAGGGAGGAAGAGUCCAGAAAAGUAGGGCUGUCAGCACCUCUGUGAGCAGCCGACGAUCCACAGCGGAUGGAGUUUGGUGGUAAAGGUACUCACUUCCUGUCUCUCUGGUGAUGAUUUUGAGCAUGUUCUACAAAGUCUUUCAGAUGGUCCCAGUAGGUUGGAGCCCAGCUGCCCUCAGUGGUAACCUGCCCAUUAACGUAUCCUGUGUUGGUUUCCUUUCCUCCCCUACCUCACCUCCCCACUCCCCUUUCUAUGAUUCCUAGAGUCACCUCCCAAAUAAACUUUCACAUUUACA